UACGGAAGGCAGCAGUGGGGAAUAUUGCACAAUGGGCGCAAGCCUGAUGCAGCCAUGCCGCGUGUAUGAAGAAGGCCUUCGGGUUGUAAAGUACUUUCAGUCGUGAGGAAGGUGUUAAGGUUAAUAACCUUAGCAAUUGACGUUAGCGACAGAAGAAGCACCGGCUAACUCCGUGCCAGCAGCCGCGGUAAUACGGAGGGUGCGAGCGUUAAUCGGAAUUACUGGGCGUAAAGGGCACGCAGGCGGUUAAUUAAGUUGGAUGUGAAAUCCCCGGGCUUAACCUGGGAAUGGCAUUCAAGACUGGUUAGCUAGAGUCUUGUAGAGGGGGUAGAAUUCCAUGUGUAGCGGUGAAAUGCGUAGAGAUGUGGAGGAAUACCGGUGGCGAAGGCGGCCCCUGGACAAAAGACUGACGCUCAUGUGCGAAAAGCGUGGGGAGCAAAACAGGAUUAGAUACC
rnacentral:rRNA from 1 species